rnacentral:rRNA from 1 species
CCUACGGGAGGCAGCAGUGAGGAAUAUUGGUCAAUGGUCGGGAGACUGAACCAGCCAAGCCGCGUGAGGGAGGAAGGUACAGAGUAUCGUAAACCUCUUUUGUCAGGGAACAAAGACUGGGACGCGUCCCCGGAUGAGUGUACCUGAAGAAAAAGCAUCGGCUAACUCCGUGCCAGCAGCCGCGGUAAUACGGAGGAUGCGAGCGUUAUCCGGAUUUAUUGGGUUUAAAGGGUGCGCAGGCGGGCGGUUAAGUCAGCGGUAAAAGCCCGGGGCACAACCCCGGCCCGCCGUUGAAACGGGCAGUCGCGAGUUGGAGAGAAGUAUGCGGAAUGCGCGGUGUAGCGGUGAAAUGCAUAGAUAUCGCGCAGAACUCCGAUUGCGAAGGCAGCAUGCCGGCUCCACACUGACGCUGAGGCACGAAAGCGUGGGUAUCGAACAGGAUUAGAUACCCCAGUAGUC